UACAAUAGAAGUUUUUGUUUAGACAUUUGUUUAGGCCUCUGUUUGUGUCAUGUUGAUGGUACCUCCACUCCCAGGCGAUAACCUAAUUUGUUUGCAGAGUUCGGUAUUGAACUGUCUUGAGUCGAUUUAUCUUUGGCAACCAAUGGCAACUCUCAAAUAUUUUAACUUCCGCAUCUUUUUUUGUUUUAUUGCAGAAUGUAUCCUAAUGCGAACAGCAGGUGGAGCACAACAUGCACAUUUUUUAAGGGAAUAUUGACGUUUUGUGUGUGUAAGGAGACGCAAAAUGUGUCUUCCUUUUAGGCUAAAAAGUAGAAAAACCUAAGUAACAUCAUUAUAUCCCAAAAGUCAUUCAUUGUUUAACUAAACAUUAAGCGAUCUAUUAGUCAAAAUGACUCCAUAGCAUUGUUUACAAAACAUAUGGGGGUAACAUUUCAAACGUGUGACCAACCACAUUUAAACAAAGAGCCUUUUUUGUCGAGACACUUAAAAUAAAGUGCAAACACUCCACAGAUAUGUUUGCCACAAGGACAGCAUGUGUCACAUGAAUCCACAGACAUCUGCUUUGUGACAGGCCGGUCCUAAAAGCCCGCAGCUGGUUUCAUGACAGGCGUUCUAUUCUCUCGCUGACUGCCCUCUCUGUGAUCCCUCUUCUGCACAAGCACAACGCUAAUAGUAUAAAAUAAUAGUCCUUACUUGUGUUUUGUGGGGGUCUCUAAGUAAAAAAAUAAAAACAAAAUAAAUCAUACUUGAAAAGAAAAAAGCGUUUUAUUUUGAAAACGAUACCCGGAAGUGGAAUUUUCCAACUCUCGCUUAACGGCGAUCCCACUAAACCAGACGGGGAUACCAGAGUGGCAGAAUUCCAUCUGAUGGGACUGACUGACCAGUGCGAGCAUAGGGAGAUUAUUUCGCCCAAACAGCUUGUAGUAAGCGUCUUUGAAAGGCAGGGCUAUGCUGAGGCGUGUCAGCGAUGACGGAUGUCGAAGUGAGCUUUGAGGACUUCAUCGCUUCCCGGCGGUCUGGCCGCAGAAAUGCCAUCCAUGAAAUCCCCACAGAGAAGCUGCAAGGAUCCAUGGACCUGUCACAGAGACUGGCACAGCUCACCAUCAGCAAGAGCGGGGAAGAACAGGGAGACUCUGAGAGCAACCAGGACUCUUCAGCUAAGGAAGAGGAGGCUCAAGCUGAAGGCAGCUAACCUGCAGCGAUCCUGUGUAUCUUUUAGCAGUAUAGUGUGAUUUCAGUCCUCUAUGCACCAAAACCAUAACUAUGGCAACUACGCUGCUGUUUCCUUCAAUUUUCUUACCAUCUUUCAUAAUUGACUCUAACAAGCAGAACCAGGCAUUACUGGCAGAGAUUCUAAAAAUGAAGAAAAGCAUUUGAGUGUUUUUAUUUUCGUACGUUUACUGUCUAUUCACAGUCUCUCAGUAUUUUAGUUGCAUACUUAUCCUGUUAUUUAGCUCAGAAAGUUUACCUUUUGGUACAAAUGAUUUCACAACCGCAUUCAGUGGUUUUUGGGGCACACUGUCAGAUUCUGUCCAUAUAUUUGUUUCAUUUAAAAUCGAGUUCUUCUAACUGUUGAAUGAGUUUUAAAGGUCAGUGCAAACACAGUGUUGCCCAUUGCUGUGUAUUUGAAAUAUUUUUUUGACUGACCAAAGAGCUCCUUCUUAUCAGUUCAACAUGAACAGUUGGAGUAAUUGACUGGUCAUGACAGCCCUGCUCUUUUUAGCAGUCUUUUACUUUACUUUAUACUGAAGUGCAGUUGGGAAUCUCAGAGUGUUGUGGUGUGCAAGACAAUUGUUGAAUGCAUAUAGUCCCGUUUUCAACAGUGUCUUUUUAAUAUGUCUUCUAAAUUGGUUGGUUUUAGUUCCUCUGGACCAGGGGUCUGCAACCGGAGGCCCUGGAGCCAUAUGUGGCUCUUUUACCCCUUCAUUUUGGCUCUCUGGUUAAAGAAAAAUAAAAAGUUUUUCAUUUUAAAAAGUAGCUGUAAAGUAAAAAGUAAGGUAGUAAGCAGUGACAGAUAAAAGAAAAAAAUAAUAAUUUAUGGAUCUUUCUGCGAGGCUCCUGACUACAUUACCCAUGAUGCUCCAAUAAUCCAUCACCCGGUUCAGCUUUGACGUUCAAAAAAGUCAGAACAAGACAUUUAGAUGGAUUUUUGAGCUCUGUGUUCACCAAAAAAUUCAACCUUAGGUCUGGAAACACAACCAGAAUUCCUAUUUAUAGCAGAUUAUCUAUUUUUUUAACAAAGUCAAGGAUUUUAGGUGUGCCUGAUGGUUAAAAAAAUAUGGUAGAGGUCACUUAAUUAGCUGUGAUUUAAUUAUUGUUAGCUAGAUUUACAAAUUUCUGGCUGGAUGCACAACAAGUAGUAAUACAUGUAUAUAAACUAUAUAGUACUUUAUAUAUAUACACUACUAGGAAAUCAUGUGAACCUAUGUCUAACAUUAUAAACUAUUUAUUUAGGGGGGAAAAAAGGUAAUUUUCUUCUUAUGUAUGUUUUAUUUAUGACAAAAAACAAACAUUUAUUUAUAUUUAUCAUAAUACCAAUAACAUAAAUAAAUAAUUUUUCUAAAACAUGAAGUAAGGAUUUGUGGCUCCUUCUGGGUUGUGGUUGGUGAGACUUGGCCCCGAAAGUGUUAAAGGUUGCAGACCCCUGCUCUAGACUGUCUCUUGCACCUCAGACUGCACUGUUCAAAUAUAAUUCCAAGAUUAAAAGUGUUACAAGAAAGUCAAAUUUUUAUUGUAGAAUUAUUUUCUGGAUUCUUUUUUUAUUUUUUUUAUCUGUACAUUUUCAUAAAAUGUAUUUAUCCAAACAGUACCCACCUUUUUAGGAUGCAGGAAUUCUUUUCUAAAUUCCUGAACACUGUUUUUACAGUAUAUUCAGUUAGUCUAUUCUUCCCUACAUCCUUUCCAGAUGGGUGUGUCAGUAUGAUCAAAUAAACUGUGAUUUGUAAGUUUCAGAAGACAAUACGUAGUUUUGGAUGAUGAGAAAAACAGCACUAUAUAAAAGACGUUUAUGUGGUUAUUAAUCAAUUUAUGACCAAUGUCUGCUGCAAUAAUUACUUGGGUGGUUGUUCAUAUGUCUUUUGAACCUUUUUUAAUAAAAAAAAAAUACAUUUGUAA